UACGAAGGGGCUAGCGUUGUUCGGAAUUACUGGGCGUAAAGCGUGCGUAGACGGUAGCGUAAGUCGGGUGUGAAAGCCCCGGGCUCAACCUGGGAAUUGCAUUCGAGACUGCUCUGCUAGGGUGCGGAAGAGGGAAGCGGAAUUUCCGGUGUAGCGGUGAAAUGCGUAGAUAUCGGAAGGAACACCAGUGGCGAAAGCGGACUCCGUG
rnacentral:rRNA from 1 species